rnacentral:rRNA from 1 species
GAUGAACGCUGGCGGCGUGCCUAAUACAUGCAAGUCGAGCGAACGGACGAGAAGCUUGCUUCUCUGAUGUUAGCGGCGGACGGGUGAGUAACACGUGGAUAACCUACCUAUAAGACUGGGAUAACUUCGGGAAACCGGAGCUAAUACCGGAUGAUAUUUUGAACCGCAUGGUUCAAAAGUGAAAGACUGUCUUGCUGUCACUUAUAGAUGGAUCCGCGCUGCAUUAGCUAGUUGGUAAGGUAACGGCUUACCAAGGCAACGAUGCAUAGCCGACCUGAGAGGGUGAUCGGCCACACUGGAACUGAGACACGGUCCAGACUCCUACGGGAGGCAGCAGUAGGGAAUCUUCCGCAAUGGGCGAAAGCCUGACGGAGCAACGCCGCGUGAGUGAUGAAGGUCUUCGGAUCGUAAAACUCUGUUAUUAGGGAAGAACAUAUGUGUAAGUAACUGUGCACAUCUUGACGGUACCUAAUCAGAAAGCCACGGCUAACUACGUG